rnacentral:lncRNA from 1 species
CUUGCUCUGUCCACAGGAAGUGAGCGAAUUCCAGAGGCUGUUCCCUACCUCACUUCCUGUGCCUCACACGUGCCAAUGGUGGCUCAAGCUUGACUUAGGACAGCCCAGGGGAGAAUUUCUGUGGCCAGAGAAGUGGACUGAGGUGCCAGAGCCUGGGAGGCAGACUUUUCUGAAGCUGGAACUCUUGAAAACAACACAGAGGAGAGAUGGAGAAAGAUAAUAGCCCUGUCAUUGAAGGUGAGUCCCUGCAGGGACAAGUUCUGGUGGAUUAGGCCCAAAUCCUAUCCAAGCCAAGAGUCCUAAGAGUCCAUUCUGCCUUAGCUGAACUCUGGAGGAUGGGCUUCAUUCAUGUUUGUGGAAUGGACUGGAUGAACUGAAAAGAGACUGAAUAGUGGCAGAGAUCAUAAGUUGGAGGGACCACUGCCAACCCCCCAAACAGAGGCAACUUUUC